UGUUAAACAUUUUAUUCAUUUCUAAUAUUAAAAAUUGGUAUAGUUGACGGACACGUGGUGUACCACGUGUCCCUCAUCUUGAUGUAUAGGGACCAAAUUUUAAUAAUAAAAAUAGACUAAAUUUUCUGAUA
rnacentral:pre_miRNA from 1 species